GUGAGGAAUAUUGGUCAAUGGGCGGGAGCCUGAACCAGCCAAGUCGCGUGAAGGAAGAAGGAUCUAUGGUUCGUAAACUUCUUUUGCAGGGGAAUAAAGUGCAGGACGUGUCCUGUUUUGUAUGUACCCUGAGAAUAAGGAUCGGCUAACUCCGUGCCAGCAGCCGCGGUAAUACGGAGGAUCCGAGCGUUAUCCGGAUUUAUUGGGUUUAAAGGGUGCGUAGGUGGUUUGAUAAGUCAGCGGUGAAAGUUUGCAGCUUAACUGUAAAGAUGCCGUUGAAACUGUCGGACUUGAGUGUAAAUGAGGUAGGCGGAAUGCGUGGUGUAGCGGUGAAAUGCAUAGAUAUCACGCAGAACUCCGAUUGCGAAGGCAGCUUACUAAGCUACAACUGACACUGAAGCACGAAAGCGUGGGGAUCAAACAGGAUUAGAUACCCGAGUAGUCC
rnacentral:rRNA from 1 species